rfam:Azotobacter vinelandii DJ, complete genome.
GUUCGCGAGCAUCGACCCCACACACGCAUCGGCACGGUAUCCUGGGUGCCCGCAAGGGUUGGAUAUCGGGAUGCGUGGAGGCCUAAC